ensembl:lncRNA
UUAAAUCCCACAACAAUCGUAAAAAGUUUUUGUCCUGUUGCGGGCUUUUGCUCCUCAGACAGACAGCGCAGCGGCGUGUGUUGGACCAAUUAACGGGCCCGUCUGUGCGCUGCCCCGCGGAGCGUGCUUUCCUGGGCGGCCUCUGCGCACUCUGCCAGGACAGUCAGCUGCAGCUGCAGAACAUAAAGCACGCAUAGCACGGCACGGACACGAUCAGGUCCAAAAUGGGUCCGACUUGGGCGCUAAUCUGUUCCACCGCUUUGCUCUUGGUUUUACUGAGCUCAGCAUCCGAAGAUGAGCGCUUCUUUGAGCAGCGCGAGGUCACCUUUGACAUUCCCCAACUGAUGCAAGAGAUGCAGAAAGAGAUGGACUUGAGAGAUCACUUUGAUUCACAGCGGCCAGCGCAGCCUCAACCAAGGCAGAGAGGUGAGCAGAUAUUCACAGUAGUGUGCAACACCAUGAAAUGUCUUUAAGUAGUCUUCGGGAAUACUUUUCCAGGCUUCUUAAAAGCACACUCAAAGCUUUUCUUUGUAUUUUGGCUGCCUUUGGUCCAUUCUCUGUUAAGAGUUUCUUCCAAUUCUUUAAGGACACACCGCACACCAUGCUGAGAUAUGUCUC